CCUCCGGCGACUCUAGUGCGUUAUGACCUCACAACGGCCGGCGCUGGAGCCCGGCAGCGCGUGCCCAGUCCUCAGCCCGCGCGUGCUUCCGGCGCUCUAGGGCGGAGCAGCCAGUAGCGGCGCCCGACGGGGUUCGGGUUGCAGGGGCCCGGCCGCUCCACAGCUAGAAGGUAAACGGCGGGCGGCGCUAAUGGGCUGCGCCGCGCGUCAUCUUCGGGAGGGGAAGGAUUGAGACCCGUCCCGCCUCCUCUGAGGCGUGUUGCUGCGGCACUCAAGCCUAUCCCCAUCACAGAUUUUCCCCCUUUAUUGCUGCAAGAGGAACAUGGCAUAAACACAGUAAUGUACAGAAACAAACAAGUUCAGAAUGUGGCCAUCUUUCUAGAUUUUGUCAAUUCUUAGCUAAUUUUUAAACAAUUUUAAUUUUGUAAGAUAUCCUAGUUAACAAAAGUAAAGAACAAGAUGGA